rnacentral:rRNA from 1 species
GACGAACGCUGGCGGCGUGCCUAAUACAUGCAAGUAGAACGCACAGUUUAUACCGUAGCUUGCUACACCAUAGACUGUGAGUUGCGAACGGGUGAGUAACGCGUAGGUAACCUGCCUGGUAGCGGGGGAUAACUAUUGGAAACGAUAGCUAAUACCGCAUAAUAUUAAUUAUUGCAUGAUAAUUAAUUGAAAGGUGCAAUUGCACCACUACCAGAUGGACCUGCGUUGUAUUAGCUAGUAGGUGAGGUAACGGCUCACCUAGGCGACGAUACAUAGCCGACCUGAGAGGGUGGUCGGCCACACUGGGACUGAGACACGGCCCAGACUCCUGCGGGAGGCAGCAGUAGGGAAUCUUCGGCAAUGGACGAAAGUCUGACCGAGCAACGCCGCGUGAGUGAAGAAGGUUUUCGGAUCGUAAAGCUCUGUUGUAAGAGAAGAACGGGUGUGAGAGUGGAAAGUUCACACUGUGACGGUAUCUUACCAGAAAGGGACGGCUAACUACGUG